rnacentral:rRNA from 1 species
CCUACGGGUGGCAGCAGUGAGGAAUAUUGGUCAAUGGGCGCGAGCCUGAACCAGCCAAGUCGCGUGAAGGAUGACUGCCCUACGGGUUGUAAACUUCUUUUAUAAAGGAGUAAAGUGAGGCACGUGUGCCUUUUUGUAUGUCCUUUAUGCAUAAAGCACGGCUAACUCCGGUCCAGGAGCCGCGGUACUACGGAGGGUCCGGGGGUUAUCCGGAUUUAAUGGGUUUAAAGGGAACGUAGAUGGGUUGUUAAGUCAGUUGUGAAAGUUUAGGGCUCAACCGUAGAAUUGCACUUGAUACUGGCAGUCUUGAGUAGAGUUGAGGUAGGCAGAAUUCGUGGUGUAGCGGUGAAAUGCAUAGAUAUCACGAAGAAUUCCGAUUGCGAAGGCAGCAUACUAAACGGCCACUGACAUUGAGGCUCGAAAGUGUGGGUAUCAAACAGGAUUAGAUACCCCUGUAGUC